AACGUAGGAGACAAACGUUAUCCGGAGUUACUGGGCGUAAAGGGCGUGUAGGUGGUUUCGUAAGUCUGGCGUGAAAUUUUUCGGCUUAACCGGGAAAGGUCGUCGGAUACUGCGGGACUGGAGGACGGUAGAGGCGUGUGGAAUUCCGGGUGUAGUGGUGAAAUGCGUAGAGAUCCGGAGGAACACCAGUGGCGAAGGCAGCACUCUGGGACGGUACUGACGCUGAGACGCGAAAGCGUGGGGAGCGAACAGG
rnacentral:rRNA from 1 species